CGGCCGCCGGGCCUCUCCAUCCCCUCCGCGGGGUCGUCGUGUCUCCCCGUCCCCGCCGCGCGCCCGUCGCGGCUCCCCUUCGCCACCGCGGAGCCGGCGACACUACCCACCUGGCCUGGGUGGCUUCCGAGGCAGCAUUCGAGGCGAGUCCCGCGCCGACUUCGCCCGGGACGGCCGCGGAGACCAUCCAGGCGACAGCGGCAGUCGGGGAUGACCUGACUGAUGAUUCUGUCUUCACUCGAAGCUCCCAGUGCUCUCGGGGACUUGAACGAUAUAUUUCUCGGGAGGAAGGGCCACUUAGUCCCUUCUUG
rnacentral:lncRNA from 1 species